GGCCCGGCUAACUCCUCCCAAGCAGCCGGGGGUUAUUACGAGGGUCCAAGCGUUUGUCCGGAAUCCAUGGGCGUAAAGGGUUGCAGGUGGGGCAGCAUGUCAGAGGUAAAACCCCGCGGGCUACCCGCGGACGUUCCUUUGAAACUCAUGCUCUUGAGUCCGGGAGAGGUGGCCGGAAUUCGUGGUGUAGCGGUGAAAUGCGUAGAUAUCACGAGGAACACCAGAGGCGAAAGCGGGCAACUGGACGGGUACUGACACUGAGGCACGAAAGCGUGGGGAGCAAACAGGAUUAGAUACCCUGGUAGUCCGCGCCGUAAACGAUGAAUGCUCGCCGUUGCCUCGUUAGGGGGCAGUGGCUAAGCUAACGCG
rnacentral:rRNA from 1 species